rnacentral:rRNA from 1 species
GAAUCUUGCGCAAUGGGGGAAACCCUGACGCAGCAACGCCGCGUGAGUGAGGAAGGUCUUCGGAUCGUAAAGCUCUGUCAGUUGGAAAGAAAUGUCUGAUAGUCAAUCCCUUUCAGGCUUGACGGUACCAACAGAGGAAGCACCGGCUAACUCCGUGCCAGCAGCCGCGGUAAUACGGGGGGGGCAAGCGUUGUUCGGAGUUAUUGGGCGUAAAGAGCGUGUAGGCGGCCGGAUAUGUCAGAUGUGAAAGCCCCGGGCUUAACCCGGGAAGUGCAUUUGAAACUGUCCGGCUCGAGUAGGGGAGAGGGAAGUGGAAUUCCUGGUGUAGAGGUGAAAUUCGUAGAUGUCAGGAGGAACACCGGUGGCGAAGGCGACUUCCUGGCCCUAUACUGACG